AUUGAACGCUGGCGGCAUGCUUUAUACAUGCAAGUCGAACGGUAACAGGCCGCAAGGUGCUGACGAGUGGCGAACGGGUGAGUAAUGCAUCGGAACGUGCCCAGUCGUGGGGGGUAACUACUCGAAAGAGUAGCUAAUACCGCAUACGAUCUAUGGAUGAAAGCGGGGGACCGUAAGGCCUCGCGCGAUUGGAGCGGCCGAUGUCAGAUUAGGUAGUUGGUGGGGUAAAGGCUCACCAAGCCAACGAUCUGUAGCUGGUCUGAGAGGACGACCAGCCACACUGGGACUGAGACACGGCCCAGACUCCUACGGGAGGCAGCAGUGGGGAAUUUUGGACAAUGGGCGCAAGCCUGAUCCAGCAAUGCCGCGUGCAGGAAGAAGGCCUUCGGGUUGUAAACUGCUUUUGUACGGAACGAAACGGCCCUGGUUAAUACCCGGGGCUAAUGACGGUACCGUAAGAAUAAGCACCGGCUAACUACGUG
rnacentral:rRNA from 1 species